rnacentral:rRNA from 1 species
UACGAAGGGGACUAGCGUUGUUCGGAAUUACUGGGCGUAAAGCGCACGUAGGCGGAUUUGUAAGUCAGGGGUGAAAUCCCGGGGCUCAACCUAGGAAUUGCGCUUGAGACUGGAUAGCUUGGAGUGCGGCAGAGGGAGGUGGAAUUCCACGUGUAGCAGUGAAAUGCGUAGAGAUGUGGAGGAACACCGAUGGCGAAGGCAGCCUCCUGGGCCAGCACUGACGCUCAUGCACGAAAGCGUGGGGAGCAAACAGG